CAUUCUUAGAACCCUGGUCCCUUCUUUUGGAUCACUUACUAUGAGAGAAGCCAGCUGACAUAGCGUGAGGACACCCCAGCAGCCAGCCAAGAGGAGAAGUGAGCAACUGAGGCCUCUUGCCAUAGCUACAAAGGCCCUGUCAGAACUGGACUACCCAGCUCCAGCAGCACUCAGAUGUCCACAGGCUCAGCUAACUUCUAGACUGGAGCCUCAGGACAUGCCCUGAGUCAGGACUACCCAGCUAAGCUGCUCCCAAAUUCUGGACUGCACUGGAAAUGACAGCAAACAUUUUGAACACACAGUGAAUGCAAAGGUGAAUCAGGGAUCAGUUUUUGGCCUUCAUUCUGAAUGGGGAGUACUUAGAAGUCUUUGCUCAAUGUCAUCAGCCUGAGGUUAUGAGCCUUAGAAAAGCUCAUUCCCCCAAGAAUCUGUUUCUUUAUCUGCAUAGAAAAACAACACCCACUCUGCUGUGCUGCUGUGAGACGUGAAAAAACAGUUCAAUGUACAAGUGCCCAUCAGUCAAUAGAUGUUAGUGACGUAAAUAUAUUUCCUUUCUUGCCAUUCAUUCUAAUUUUUUUUUUUUUUGGUACCAGAGAUCGAACUCAGGUCCUUUCGCUUGCGCAGCAGGCGGUGAAACCACUGAGCUAAAUCGCUGGCCCUUCAUUCUGAUUUUAAUCCUUGUUUUGGAUGCUUACUCUUUGACGUCACUCUUAUUUAGCUUUUAUGUUUGCUGUUUGUUUGUUUGUUUGUUUUGAGACAGGGUCUUGCUAUGUAGUUCAGGCUGGAUUUAAUUCUUUAUAUAACCCAUGUGAUCCUUAAACUCAUGGUGAUCCUCCUGCCUCAGCCUCCUGUAUACUGGGAUUACACAUGUGUGCUAUUUACUCUUAUUUAGGUAUGGGCCUGCCCUGCUUUUAGACUUACUUUGCCUUGCUGGCUACAGCUGACUCUUGGCUUGGACUUGCUCUUCUUGAAAUUCUUUGCCCCAGAUUCCAGUUUCUGUUCCUACUGCUUUUCCUAAAUUUCUAAUUAAAUUCAGUCCAUAAGAAAUUUGAAGGUUGAUUAUCUGACACUUUGAACCUUUAGGGGCACAUUAUAAUUCAAGUUGUAUGUAAAAUUAGAGGCCA
rnacentral:lncRNA from 1 species